rfam:TPA: Bos taurus chromosome 3, whole genome shotgun sequence.
UCCCUGGUGGCUCAUAUGGUAAAGAAUCUGUCUACAAUACAUGAGACCUGGGUUCGAUCCCUGGCUUGGGAA